rnacentral:rRNA from 1 species
GGGUUGUGAGGUUAAGCGACUAAGCGUACACGGUGGAUGCCCUGGCAGUCAGAGGCGAUGAAGGACGUGCUAAUCUGCGAAAAGCGUCGGUAAGGUGAUAUGAACCGUUACAGCCGGCGAUGUCCGAAUGGGGAAACCCAGUGCAAUUCGUUGCACUAUCGUUAACUGAAUACAUAGGUUAACGAGGCGAACCGGGGGAACUGAAACAUCUAAGUACCCCG